rnacentral:RNase_P_RNA from 2 species
GGGAGAGAGAGCCUGGCUGCCGCGGUGGCCGCGCCGGUGACGGCGCGCCCACACAACGUUGCCCGACUCCCCGAGUCGAGCAGCGCUCGCGAGGAAAGUCCCCCCACCUGUUCGGGCAGGUGACCGGACGCAAGUCCGGAGCGGGAGACCGCUGGCUCUGGAACAGAAACGACACGUCUCGGCCCGACCGAUGAUGCGCGCGAACCCGACCGAGAGGAAGGGGAGUUGACCCGCAGAGGGCGUGUGGUCGUCUACUCACGGUUCGAACCCGUGGAUCACGCCUGGCGUGAUCGGCCACACGGAGACGGCCGAGGAUCGAUGGAACGGCGAACCCUCACCGGUGCAAGUCCGCGCCGUGGUAGCCCGAACACCCCGCGGCGCCGCCGCGGACGGCGCGGACGCUCAGCCGAAUGCCGGGACGAACAGAAGGGGGCUUACUCCUCUCACCC